GGUGGCUGAGCGGCUGAAAGCGGCACCGUGCUAAGGUGUUAAGGGAGCAAUCCCUUCGUGGGUUCAAAUCCCACCC
rnacentral:tRNA from 1 species